AUUGAACGCUGGCGGCAGGCCUAACACAUGCAAGUCGAGCGGAUGAAGGGAGCUUGCUCCUGGAUUCAGCGGCGGACGGGUGAGUAAUGCCUAGGAAUCUGCCUGGUAGUGGGGGAUAACGUCCGGAAACGGGCGCUAAUCCCGCAUACGCCCUGAGGGAGAAAGUGGGGGAUCUUCGGACCACACGCUCUCAGAUGAGCCUAGGUCGGAUUAGAUAGUUGGUGGGGUAAAGGCCUACCAAGGCGAGGAUCCGUAACUGGUCUGAGAGGAUGAUCAGUCACACUGGAACUGAGACACGGUCCAGACGCCUACGGAAGGCAGCAGUGGGGAAUAUUGGACAAUGGGCGAAAGCCUGAUCCAGACAGGCGGCGUGUGUGAAGAAGGUCUUCGGAUGGUAAAGCACUUUAAGUGGGGAGGAAGGGCAGUAAGUUAAGACCUUGCUGUUUUGACGUUACCAACAGAAUAAGCACCGGCUAACUUCGUG
rnacentral:rRNA from 1 species